rnacentral:misc_RNA from 1 species
GAACGCACAUUGCGCCCUUUGGUAUUCCGAAGGGCAUGCCUGUUCGAGCGUCAUUAUCACCCCUCGGGCCCCGUGCUCGGUGUUGGACGGCCGGUUCGGGUGACCGAACCCCUCCUAAAGACAAUGACGGCGGCCUGUGGUUCCCCCGGUACACUGAGCCUUUGGCACGUGCCGGACGAGGGCGCCCAGGACCCGGUCCUCUCCUCUCAGCAGGAAACUUUCUUAGGUUGACCUCGGAUCAGGUAGGAAUACGCGCUGAACUUAAG